UGAAGUCCUGGGCAUAGAUAAAGUUGUGGGCCUUUUGACCUCAUAAUCUGAGCAAGCAAAUCUGAGAACAGCAUCAUAGCCUGGUCAAGGACCUCAAACACAGGAUUCUGGGGUGAAACCUGGCAUGCAGAGAUCUGUGGCCCCCUAAGGGCAUGUUAAUGUCAACUCAGUGUUAAUGUGCAGAGUCCCCAAAAGGCCAAGUGGGAGAUGAACAAGUAAGCUGGGUAUUUUGUUCUUUCAGGUGAGAGACUAUAGUGAGAUGAGAGAGGUGGGAGGUGCCAGCCUGCCUCCUUCUACACUACAGCCCGUGGAGGAAGAGGCCCAUUCGCUUUCCACCAGCUAUAAAUUGUGCAGCAUAGAAGCCCAUAUAUUUCUCCAGGCAUAACCACAUGUGUGACAACACUCUCCAGAAGCAGAAGUGAAUUCCUCUUACAAUACAUCCAAGGAGCGUUGACUGAGGGAGAUUUCACUUUCUGUGGACCGCAGCCAUCUCUUCAGUUUCUCCCUGUUACUGAAAUCUCAUUGUUACACUCAGAAUCUGUCUUCUCCCGGGGCUUACUUUCAAAGCAUUUCACUGCCUGUGACAAGACAGAGUAAGUAAAAUGCUGAUGAGUUUGGAUUUCUUCCCCCAGCCUCUCAGCUUUUCUAUCUGGUAGUUUGGCAUCUCAUUCCUCUAUUACAUCAGACGCCAGUUAGAAAUUCCUGCUUGAUCUUGAGAUAUAGCAAAGGUGCUGACCGACAAGGCACUAGGUACAGCUUAAAUUCAGUCUUAAUCACCAGCACUUUUAAAACAUUUAAUAGUGUAAUAAGG
rnacentral:lncRNA from 1 species